AUUGAACGCUGGCGGCAGGCUUAACACAUGCAAGUCGAGCGGAGAUGAGGUGCUUGCACCUUAUCUUAGCGGCGGACGGGUGAGUAAUGCUUAGGAAUCUGCCUAUUAGUGGGGGACAACAUUCCGAAAGGAAUGCUAAUACCGCAUACGCCCUACGGGGGAAAGCAGGGGAUCUUAGGACCUUGCGCUAAUAGAUGAGCCUAAGUCGGAUGAGCUAGUUGGUGGGGUAAAGGCCUACCAAGGCGACGAUCUGGAGCGGGUCUGAGAGGAUGAUCCGCCACACUGGGACUGAGACACGGCCCAGACUCCUACGGGAGGCAGCAGUGGGGAAUAUUGGACAAUGGGCGGAAGUCUGAUCCAGCCAUGCCGCGUGUGUGAAGAAGGCCUUUUGGUUGUAAAGCACUUUAAGCGAGGAGGAGGCUACCUGGAUUAAUACUCUAGGAUAGUGGACGUUACUCGCAGAAUAAGCACCGGCUAACUCUGUGCCAGCAGCCGCCGUAAGAC
rnacentral:rRNA from 1 species